UACGUAGGGGGCAAGCGUUGUCCGGAAUCAUUGGGCGUAAAGAGCGUGUAGGCGGCCAGAUAAGUCCGCUGUGAAAUCUCGAGGCUCAACUUCGAGCUGUCGGUGGAAACUGUCUGGCUAGAGUCCGGAAGAGGAGAAUGGAAUUCCUGGUGUAGCGGUGAAAUGCGCAGAUAUCAGGAAGAACACCCGUGGCGAAGGCGGUUCUCUGGGACGGUACUGACACUGAAAAGCGAAAGCCAGGGGAGCAAACGGG
rnacentral:rRNA from 1 species